AUUGAACGCUGGCGGCAUGCCUUACACAUGCAAGUCGAACGGCAGCACGGGGCAACCUGGUGGCGAGUGGCGAACGGGUGAGUAAUGCAUCGGAACGUACCUUUCAGUGGGGGACAACGUAGCGAAGUUACGCUAAUACCGCAUAUUCUGUGAGCAGGAAAGCAGGGGAUCGCAAGACCUUGCGCUGAUUGAGCGGCCGAUGUCAGAUUAGCUAGUUGGUGAGGUAAAGGCUCACCAAGGCGACGAUCUGUAGCGGGUCUGAGAGGAUGAUCCGCCACACUGGAACUGAGACACGGUCCAGACUCCUACGGGAGGCAGCAGUGGGGAAUUUUGGACAAUGGGGGCAACCCUGAUCCAGCCAUGCCGCGUGAGUGAAGAAGGCCUUCGGGUUGUAAAGCUCUUUCGGCCGGGAAGAAAUCGCACGGGCUAAUACCCUGUGUGGAUGACGGUACCGGAAUAAGAAGCACCGGCUAACUACGUGCCAGCCGCCGCAGUAACAC
rnacentral:rRNA from 1 species